rnacentral:rRNA from 1 species
UUUCCCUCAGGAUAGCUGGCACUCGCUUGAGCGAGUCUCAUCUGGUAAAGCGAAUGAUUAGAGGCCUUGGGGCCGAAACGACCUCAACCUAUUCUCAAACUUUAAAUGGGUGAGAUCUCUGGCUUGCUUGAACGUUGAAGCCACGAGAUGAAUUUUUUUUCAUUGGAUCAGAGUGCCAAGUGGGCCAAUUUUGGUAAGCAGAACUGGCGCUGUGGGA